AAAAAGGGCUUCUGCUGUGAGUGGAAUCUUCAGGGCAAUGUGAUUGCUCUACAUGCAAAAUCGACGCCAAGAGGUUUCAGAAGUGUAAUUUUUUGGUGCCUGGGCAGCUAGUGAUCAUUGGUCCUGGCACCUGC